UGCUUCCUGUCCUGAAAUAAACUCUUCAGAACUGAGCUCGGUUUGGCAAGAACUCUCCUCCGGGCCGUUUUCUGGAAGAAUCAUUGUAAACACACGUCCGCGGUUGGAGAGCUUCCCAUCUUUUCUUUCCAACUGGAGCUCUCCGCAGAGUGGUUAAGCGACAGGUCAGGGCAUGCUGGGAAACUCAAACCUCCGCUUUGAUCUGCUAAUGGAGACAAACAGGACCACAGUUGGACAGCUACCGCAGCGACACACCACCUCCACUAGUACGACCAGGUGAAUUUGGAGGUGUGAGGGUCACAGAGGAGGCAAGGGCUGCUGGGAUUGGAGUCUCCCUCUGCGAAACACAUCCCGUCGAUGUUACACGUCCGCUCCUGGCCAACAGAGACACAGUAAAACAGAAAAAAGGUUUGUUUGUAUACUCAUAUUUACAGGGUUGUUAUUAAAUGGUGACAUGUUGACACAGCAGGAAUUACAACAUUGUAAAACAUGUUUUUCCAAGAUGCUUGUUUUCCUUUUGCCUUUUUU